rnacentral:rRNA from 1 species
UACAGAGGGUGCAAGCGUUGUUCGGAAUUAUUGGGCGUAAAGCGCGUGUAGGCGGCGAUGCAAGUCGGGUGUGAAAGCCCUCAGCUUAACUGAGGAAGUGCGCCCGAAACUGCGUUGCUUGAGUGCCGGAGAGGGUGGCGGAAUUCCCCAAGUAGAGGUGAAAUUCGUAGAUAUGGGGAGGAACACCGGUGGCGAAGGCGGCCACCUGGCUGGUAACUGACGCUGAGACGCGAAAGCGUGGGGAGCAAACAGG